CAAUACAUGAGUAAAGUGGCGCACGGGUGAGUAACGCGUAGGUGAUCUACCUCUGCGAUCGGGAUAACCAGCCGAAAGGUUGGCUAAUACCGGAUAGAGCGCAAGGGACGUAAAGUUUCUUGCGGGAAAUGAGGGCGUAGGCACUGAGAUCUUAAGAGAGAGCCUUGAGGGGUUCUGGAUUGAGAUUUGAGUGCUUACGCUCUUGCGCUGAGAUGAGCCUGCGUCUCAUUAGCUAGUUGGUAGGGUAAUGGCCUACCAAGGCAUUGAUGGGUAGCUGGUCUGAGAGGACGAUCAGCCACACUGGAACUGAAACACGGUCCAGACUCCUACGGGAGGCAGCAGUGGGGAAUCUUGCGCAAUGGACGAAAGUCUGACGCAGCGACGCCGCGUGGGUGAAGAAGGCCUUCGGG
rnacentral:rRNA from 1 species